rnacentral:misc_RNA from 1 species
GAAAUGCGAUAAGUAAUGUGAAUUGCAGAAUUCAGUGAAUCAUCGAAUCUUUGAACACACCUUGCGCUCCUUGGUAUUCCUUGGAGCAUGCCUGUUUGAGUAUCAUGAAAUCUUCAAAGUAAAUCUUUUGUUAACUCAAUUGGUUUCUACUUUGGUAUUGGAGGUCUUUGCAGCUUCACACCUGCUCCUCUUUGUUCAUUAGCUGGAUCUCAGUGUUAUGCUUGGUUCCACUCGGCGUGAUAAGUUAUCUAUCGCUGAGGACACUGUAAAAGGUGGCCAAGGUAAAUGCAGAUGAACCGCUUCUAAUAGUCCAUUGACUUGGACAAUACUUUUAUGAUCUGAUCUCAAAUCAGGUAGGACUACCCGCUGAACAUAAGC